ACAGCUUCUCUCGUCAAUGCAACUCAGAUAAGGUUUCUAGACAUCACCGGAACAGUGCCUCCUGAGAUUGGAAUGCUCUGCCCAGAAGUCCUCAAUUUUGAGAGUAAUCAGCUAAUGGCAGCCACUGCUCAGGACUGGGAGUUUAUGACAUUCCUCACAAACUGCACACGCCUCAGGAACCUUUGCAUCCAGGCCAACGCGCUAGGUGGCGUGCUGCCAAGCUCAGUUGGCAACCUAUCAGCACAUCUCCAACAGUUUAUUUUUGGAUUUAAUGAAAUUUCUGGCAAAUUACCAUUUGGCAUAAGCAAUCUUGUCGGACUAAAUGUGUUGGACUUCCCUCACAACCAAUUUACUGAUGUCUUGCCUGACAGCAUUGGAAGGCUAAAUUUGCUUCAGCAAUUGUAUUUCAAUAAUAAUCAGUUUUCAGGAUCCUUGCCAUCCUCCCUCGGGAACUUGACACGGCUGCUAGUUCUUUCAGCCGGCAGCAAUAAGUUUAAGGGGGGCCUUCCAACAGGCCUAGGGAACCUCCAGGAGAUAACUGAAGCGGACUUUUCAAACAAUAAGUUUUCAGGUCCAUUACCAAAAGAGAUCUUUAACCUAUCAACCCUGUCAAAUACACUGGAUUUGUCAAACAAUUUUUUGGUUGGUUCUCUUCCACCUCAAGUUGGCAAUCUGACAAAGCUUACAUACCUGUAUGUAUCCCUGAACAACUUAUCAGGACCGCUUCCUAAUACACUUAGCAAAUGCCAAAGCUUGAUAGAGCUCAAGUUGGACCGCAACUACUUCAAUAGUACCAUUCCCUCGUCUAUCAGCAAAAUGCAGGGCUUGACAUUUCUAAAUCUUUCCAAGAAUACACUCUCUGGUGUGGUUCCUCAAGAGUUAGGACUCAUGGACGGUAUUCAAGAAUUGUAUCUUGCACACAACUACUUGUCUGGUCAUAUCCCUGAAAGCUUGCAAAACAUGGCAUCAUUGUAUCAGUUAGACCUGUCCUUCAAUACUCUGGAUGGCAAAGUUCCAUCGCAGGGUGUGUUCAGUAAUGUGACUGGAUUUUUGUUUGAAGGGAAUUCGAGGCUUUGUGGUGGUAACUCAGAAUUACAGUUGCCCCCAUGCCCGCCGCCAGAAUCAAUGGAACACAAGAAGAAACGCCAUUUCAUUAUCGCAAUAGCUAUCCCAAUUGUUGGCGCAAUUCUAUGCUUGAGUGCGAUGCUUGUGUUCUUCACAAGGAGAAAGGAAACAAAAGCUCAAUCCACAUCCACAAGUGGAUUCCAAUUGAUGGGUGACAAUUAUCCAAGAGUUACUUGUGUUGAACUGGCCCAGGGAACAGGUGGCUUUGCCACAGCCAAUUUGAUUGGUAGAGGAAUGCAUGGAUCAGUGUAUAAGUGUCGUUUAUUGCUGAACAAUAUGAUGACCACAGUAGCGGUGAAGGUUUUUGAUCUCCAACAGACUGGUUGUUCCAAAAGCUUUUUAGCUGAGUGUGAGGCACUUAGUAAGGUUCGCCAUCGUUAUUUGAUCAGUGUCAUAACUUGCUGCUCAAGCUCUGACUCAAGCCAAAACGACUUCAAAGCUCUUAUGUUCGAGUUCAUGCCCAAUGGGAACCUGGACAGCUGGUUACAUCCGGAUGUACAUGAUGCAUCACAGCAACUGCAAGGAUUGACAUUGAUUCAGAGAUUAAAUAUUGCAGUCGGUAUUGCUGAUGCACUAGAUUAUUUGCACAACAACUGUGAACCGCCAAUAGUUCACUGCGACCUGAAGCCAAGCAACAUUCUUCUCAACGAGGAUUUAGUUGCUCAUGUUGGAGACUUUGGCCUUGCAAAGAUUAUUUCCGAACCAGCAGCCGAGCAACUGAUUAACUCAAAGAGCUCGACUGGAAUAAGAGGAACAAUUGGUUACGUCGCUCCAGAAUAUGGCGAAGGUGGUCAAGUUUCUUCACGUGGGGACGUAUACAGCUUUGGGAGUGUCGUCCUCGAGUUGUUUAUAGGCAAGGCACCUACUCAUGACAUGUUCAGAGACGGGUUGACCCUGCAAAAACAUGCCAAGGAUGCAUUUCCAGGGAUGCUGAUGCAGAUCGUCGAUCCAGUCCUACUGUCCAUUGAAGAAGCUAGUGCGAGUAGUUUGCUGGAUGGAAGCAACCCAAUGGAACAUACCAGCAAUGCCAUAUCCUCUGUCAUAGAGGUUGCCCUGUCAUGCAGCAAGCAUGCACCCACCGAGAGAAUGUGCAUAGGAGAUGCAGCUGCUGCGAUCCAUAGGAUAAGGGAUAGCUAUGUUAGAAUAACACAAAAAUGA
rnacentral:rRNA from 1 species